AUGGCUGGUCGAGCACCCACCCCGGCGACCUCCUGCAGAGGAGGAGAGGUCGAGUACAGAUCCAGUUCAUGGAGGAGAUGCCAGCACAGGGUCAAUCAGUCUCUUGUUCGUCCUUUGGAUGGUUCGCUGCUCGCAGAGGUUAUUUCGUGUGCUUGGAGUUUGUGGGUGCUUUACCUCCUUUUUAUCGUCUUGUCGUUUGCUUCUUUACCUGCCCAGAUCCUGAUGUUGUUGUCUUCAAUUGCUUUGCAGUCUAACACUAUUAGCUCUCCAGUUCUUCGUCUUGCUGUCAAGCAAAUCACUAUCAAAGAGAAGGAGGUGGAUACAUUAUGGAAUCUGACAUUAUCCCUGUUAGUGCUAAUAGAUCCAAGCACGCAAAGAAACAAACGAUUUUACAGACCGGAUACCAUAGCGAAAUCAACAAAGAAGUUGCAGUGGUGGAGGAUAUAUUCUCCGUCAUGA
rnacentral:rRNA from 1 species